rnacentral:lncRNA from 1 species
GUUUGAUUAAGCACACAUGCAAAAUGUGCAGUGUUGGGGUGCCUCCAGGACCAGGGUUGGGAACCACUGGUCUAGUAGAUGAAGUGUUUUCACAGUGAGAGAUUGCUGCUGUAGUUGGUCUGUGGUCUUACAUUGACAAUAUGGGGGAUGUAAGUGAACUUCGAGGGAAAAAAAGCAGCAGCAGACAGAACAUCUUGACCAACUUCGAAAUGCUUGCUACCGGAGCUCUUCCCUGUGCUGUUCUUUGUUCAAGUGUAUGGUCAGCCAAAACCGUAGGUCCAAAACACCAAAUUUGGCAGAAUGGUCCCAAAUGGUCAUAUCUCCGCAACCAUUCAGAUAGUUCCUUCAGCAGUGGGCAGGACUAA